rnacentral:lncRNA from 1 species
CAACAGUAGACUUACCUGUAGGAAGGGAGACAAGCUCCCAAGUACCACUCGAAUGUAAAGCAGACAUCUCAUCAAUCAUAGCCUGCCUCCAUCCAGAAUGACAAAGUGCUUCUCCUGUAGUCUUAGGGAUGGAAAUAGAGGACAAAGAUGAUACAAAGGCAUAAUGGGGUGAAGAUAAACGAUGAUAACUCAAGAAAGUAUAAUGGGGAUUAGUAUUUCGAGUAGAUCGUAUACCUUUUUGAAGUGCAAUCGAUUGGCUAGCAGGGGGCAAAGCCACAGUGGGAGCAGGGUCUGGCGCAUGACAUGAAUCAUU